rnacentral:sRNA from 1 species
CCACGCAGCCCUUCUUGGGCGUUUCCUCCCUAGACUUCGGGCCGCUUGGUGACAGGCGGCCCCUUUUUCAUGGGCC